rnacentral:pre_miRNA from 1 species
GCGAGAUGGAAUCAGCGGUUGGACAUGCGAUUUCAUGUUGAUUCCAUCUCAUGA